rnacentral:lncRNA from 1 species
GCUGGAGAGAAACCUCACAAGUAUGAUGAGUGUGGAAAAACCUUUACCCAGGCCUCUCACCUCACUAUACAUCAGAUUAUCCAUACUGGAGAGAAACCAUAUGAAUAUGACAUAUAUGGCAAAGUCUUCAGUCAAAAUUCACAUUUCAAAAGUUAUCAUAGGAUUUGUACUGAAGAGAAGCCUUACAAAUGUGUGUGGCAAGGUCCUCAGUCAAAAUUCACACCUUGUAAAUCAUCAGAGAAUUCAUACUGGAGAGAAAUCCUACAGAUGUCAUGAAUGUGGCAAAGCCUUUACUCAAGGCUCACGCUUCAUUAAUCAUCAGAUAGUUCAUACUGGAGAGAACUUUCCAAAUGUACUGAAUGUAGCAAGGCUUUUAAGAAUGGCCCUAAACUCAGGACUCACCAAAUAG